UUUUUUAAUUAAACGGAUGCAUUGCUUUCAGAGAUCGCCUAAAAGCAAACUAUGACAAAACAGAGUGAAAACUAUGAACAAUUUUGUUGUUUGUUUUAUAGAUUUUAAAAAUGGUUUGUCGUAUGCUACAUAUUUGUAGAGUUGUAAAUAAUUUGAUAAAAAUGUUCAAUCUGUAAACAAUGGACCUGAAGAUGAAUUAUGAAAGGAUGUGACAAGUAUCAGUAAUGCAGGAAGACGCAGAGGUAGAGCAAGAAGAGUAGUGAAAAGAGAGACCUAAAUAAGGAACAAAUUAUUGGCAUGGGAAAAAUUCUAAUACAAUUUCCUGGUCUGAACACUUCUGUGUUUAGAGGAAAAGAAUUAAUUCAACAGCUGAAACUGCUUGUAAAUCUUGAAAGAAAGCAAAAACUUAUGGAAUUACCACAAAGUCAGACCAGACCAAUGCAAAUAAAAUUAUCGCCAUUGGAAUGUGGUUGGAGGAGUGUUACAAUGGAUGGCAGAAGCAUUGAAUCAGAUCUUAUUGGAAAAGUUCUAAAUAUUAGAAUCUUAUAUAAUUAAUAUCUUUGUUUUCUGCAAAUAAAUUUGAAAGUUUUGAAACCUGGAUUUUGGAAAACAAAAUGAUAACUUGUAUGACCAGUAAUUUAGCACGUAAGACUAGAAUCAAUUCAUUUAUAGUAACUGGGAAUGGAAAUGGAUUGGCUGGAUUUGCGUUAUCAAAAGCCAAAGCAUCCCUAAAGACGGUUAAAAAAAGGGCUGGUCAAAGAUUAAUGUAUAUUCCUACAUAUAAGGAACACACUAUGUUACAUGAUUUCUUUACACAGUUUGAGAAUAUAAAAAUAUUUGUAAAGAAAAUUCAUGAAGGAUAAUGGGCUUGUUUGUCAUCAUGCGAUAAAAGCGUGUUGCGAGAUAAUUGGCAUAAAGGAUAUGUAUGCCAAAGUACAAGGAGGAAUGUAAAAACAUUCUUUAUUGGUUUAUUGCAACAGAUAUUUCUAUUGAAAAAAACGCAUCAGAUAAAACUUUCCUGUACACUUUAAAUGCGCCAAAAGAUUUGCUCUUUAUUCCACUUACUGCAAUAAUGUAC